CCUGGGGCUGUUUAGUCUGGAGAAGAGGAGGCUCAAGGAAGCAGACAAGCCCCAGAAACAGGGAGCAGCACAAACAUCCCAGACAUGUCUGAAGCGCUGCUAGACUCCAUUGUCCUCAUACAAACUUUCAGUACAUCCCUACCUGUUCCUCAGCUGCAUGGGAGGUUGAACACCUACAAGUCAUCCAGAAUGUUCUAAGCAUGUGCCGUGAGCAACUUGGCAGGGCUAUUCUGGGCUGCCCUGAUAUCAUAGACAGUGAACGUACCCAGAAUCAUUGGCUGACCUCCCCAAAAUGGGCCAUGAAGGAAAGCGCUGAAUUUUAAGGGGAAAGAUCUGUCUUCUGCUUGUAGGAUGAACUUCACUAAAUGAAGAGCCACCAAAGGAGAAAAGGAG